GCAAAAAGAAGGCUGUGUUUUUCUCUGGUGCCCCCGCGUGAUGGGCGGGAGCUCAAUCGCAAACGUCGCUAGUCCUGGAAACAGGCAAGGAAAGAGGAAAAGAAUCCAUUCACUACACCAAAUUCAGGAUAAAGAUUCUGUCGGUGGAGCGCUCCCGACCACCUUUUCUUUGGUGCUGCCUGACUCAAAUCACAGGUGGCGAUGCCAAGGCACAUUUACCUACGCUGGGUUUUCACAGCGUUUCCACAUCAACC